UUAUGGCUCAGGAUGAACGCUGGCGGCGUGCCUAAUACAUGCAAGUCGUACGAGGGAAGUCCAGCUUGCUGGACGGAACGAGUGGCGAACGGGUGAGUGAUACGUAAGCAACCUGCCUGCAAGGACUGGGAUAACACCUGGAAACGGGCGCUAAUACCGGAUAGGUAACAAAGGGGCAUCCCUAUGUUAUUAAAGGUUAGAAACACAAGCAGAUGGGCUUACGGUGCAUUAGCUAGUUGGUGAGGUAACGGCCCACCAAGGCGAUGAUGCAUAGCCGGCCUGAGAGGGUGAACGGCCACAUUGGGACUGAGACACGGCCCAGACUCCUACGGGAGGCAGCAGUAGGGAAUUUUCGGCAAUGGACGAAAGUCUGACCGAGCAACGCCGCCGUGAGUGAAGAAGGUUUUCGGAUUGUAAAGCUCUGUUGUAAGGGAAGAACAGCACGGAAAGAAUCCGUGAAUGACGGUACCUUACCAGAAAGCCACGGCUAACUACGUGCCAGCAGCCGC
rnacentral:rRNA from 1 species